CCUACGGGAGGCAGCAGUGGGGAAUCUUCCGCAAUGGACGAAAGUCUGACGGAGCAACGCCGCGUGAGUGAAGACGGCCUUCGGGUUGUAAAGACUCUGUUAUACGGGACGAACGGGACGGGAUGCCUAAUACCCAUCCUGUUGUGACGUACCUAGAGAAGCU
rnacentral:rRNA from 1 species